UACGGGGGGGGCAAGCGUUGUUCGGAAUUACUGGGCGUAAAGGGUCUGUAGGUGGCCAACUAAGUCAGACGUGAAAUCCCUCAGCUUAACUGGGGAACUGCGUCUGAUACUGGAUGGCUUGAGUGCAGGAGAGGAACGCGGAAUUCCAGGUGUAGCGGUGAAAUGCGUAGAUAUCUGGAGGAACACUGGUGGCGAAGGCGGCGUUCUGGACUGCAACUGACACUGAGAGACGAAAGCCAGGGGAGCAAACGGG
rnacentral:rRNA from 1 species